GAUCCUGCCAGUAGUCAUAUGCUUGUCUCAAAGAUUAAGCCAUGCAUGUCUAAGUAUAAAUAGUAUACAGUGAAACUGCGAAUGGCUCAUUAAAACAGUUAUAGUUUAUUUGAUAAUGGAAAAUUACAUGGAUAACCGUGGUAAUUCUAGAGCUAAUACAUGCUGCAAGGCGCGACUUUCGAAGCGCUGUAUUUAUUAGAUACAAACCAAUUCCUUCGGGAUUGAGAUGAGUCACAGUAACUGAUCGAAUCUCAUAGUUGAGAUGCGUCAUUCAAGUUUCUGCCCUAUCAGCUUUUGAUGGUAGUGUAUUGGACUACCAUGGCAGUCACGGGUAACGGAGAAUUAGGGUUCGAUUCCGGAGAGGGAGCCUGAGAAACGGCUACCACAUCUACGGAUGGCAGCAGGCGCGUAAAUUACCCAAUCCUGAUUCAGGGAGGUAGUGACAAGAAAUAGCAACCUAUGUCCCUCUGGGACUGUGGAUUGUCAUGAGUUUAAUUUAAAACACUUGACGAGGAACAAUUGGAGGGCAAGUCUGGUGCCAGCAGCCGCGGUAAUUCCAGCUCCAAUAGCGUAUAUUAAAGUUGUUGCAGUUAAAAAGCUCGUAGUUGAAUGUCUAGGCGUGCAGUGCAUGGUCUGACCGGCAGUGGACGUCUAUCCGACACGAAACCCUAUUGGGUAUUAACUUACCCGUAGGGCGCACUGUCAUUUUACUUUGAAAAAAUUAGAGUGUUUCAGGCAGGCUUUGCCCGAAUAUCUUAGCAUGGAAUAAUGGAAUAGGACUUUGGUUCGUUUUAUUGGUUAUCGAAUCAGAGUAAUGAUUAAUAGGGACAGUUGGGGGCAUUAGUAUUUAAUUGUCAGAGGUGAAAUUCUUAGAUUUAUUAAAGACUAACUUAUGCGAAAGCAUUUGCCAAGGAUGUUUUCAUUAAUCAAGAACGAAAGUUAGGGGAUCAAAGACGAUCAGAUACCGUCCUAGUCUUAACUAUAAACUAUACCGACUCAGGAUUGGCAAUGCACUUACUUUGCCAGCACUGUAUGAGAAAUUAAAGUCUUUGGGUUCUGGGGGGAGUAUGGUCGCAAGGCUGAAACUUAAAGGAAUUGACGGAAGGGCACCACCAGGAGUGGAGCCUGCGGCUUAAUUUGACUCAACACGGGGAAACUUACCAAGGCCAAACAGAGGUGGGAUUGACAGAUUGAGAGCUCUUUCUUGAUUCUUUGGGUAGUGGUGCAUGGCCGUUCUUAGUUGGUGGAGUGAUUUGUCUGGUUAAUUCCGUUAACGAACGAGACCUUAACCUGCUAACUAGUUCAUUCUCUCGCAGAGGGUGAUACUUCUUAGAGGGACUAUAUAUGUGAAGUAUAUGGAAGUUUGAGGCAAUAACAGGUCAGUGAUGCCCUUAGAUGCCUUGGGCCGCACGUGCGCUACAAUGACAUGCUCAGCGAGCUCUCCUGAUUCGGAAGAAUUCGGGCAAUCUUUCAGGACAUGUCGUGUUAGGGAUCGAUCUUUGGAAUUAUAGAUCUUGAACGAGGAAUUCCUAGUAAGUGCAAGUCAUCAGCUUGUACUGAUUACGUCCCUGCCCUUUGUACACACCGCCCGUCGCUGCUACCGAUUUCGAGUGGUCCGGUGAACUACAGGGACUCGAGUCACCUUGAGGAAUUGUCGUAAACCUUAUCACUUAGAGGAAGCAGAAGUCGUAACAAGGUUUCCGUAGGUGAACCUGCGGAAGGAUCA
rnacentral:rRNA from 1 species